UUCAGUGGUGUUUUAUUCUGAACUAUCUCCUGACUAUAUAAUUUACUGAAGUCUGAAGAAUGAAAGAGCUUGGAGAUUCAAUACCAGUCCUAAUCAUGAUAGACCUGGUCUCCAGGGUGGACACUGAAGAGGACCCCUUGAGUUGUUUCCCAUUUUGGAUUGUGUUCUACACCUGCAUCCAAGAAGAUUGCACAUAUCAUGUCCUUGGUUCAUGGAUAUAGAUCUUACUAGGACUCAUGACCAAUCAUGAUAGGGAUAAGAGUACUGGUGAUGACAAUAAAAAAGACAGAAGAUAAAUCUCAACAUUGGUGAAUAAGGGGCAGCGUCCCAGGGGACCAGGAGAUGCUUUUCUCACUUAAUGCAUCAGCUCGGCGAUCCCAAUUGAACCCCUUGGUGUCGAGGGGGCAAGGUGCUUUCUUCUUCACUCAUGAGCAGGUAGAAGAGUGCAGCCCACAUACACCGGUAGAAGUGGAUAAAGUCUCUCUUGUGUCACAGAAUCUUGCUGAACAGCACUCAUCUCAAAUCCCGUCACCCCUUACCGUGUAUGUGAUUGUUUCCUCUGUGUCCUGUGACUUG